UACGGAGGAUGCGAGCGUUAUCCGGAUUUAUUGGGUUUAAAGGGUGCGUAGGCGGGAUGCCAAGUCAGCGGUCAAAUACGGGGGCUCAACCUGCGUCCGCCGUUGAAACUGGCGUUCUUGAGUGGGCGAGAAGUACGCGGAAUGCGUGGUGUAGCGGUGAAAUGCAUAGAUAUCACGCAGAACCCCGAUUGCGAAGGCAGCCUGCCAAGCCAUGACUGACGCUGAUGCACGAAAGCGUGGGGAUCGAACAGG
rnacentral:rRNA from 1 species